rnacentral:lncRNA from 1 species
GCACCUGUGGCACAUGGAGAUUCCCAGGCUAGGGGUCUAAUUGGAGCUGUAGCCGCUGGCCUACACCACAGCCACAGCCACAGCAAUGUGGGAUCCAAGCUGUGUCUUCGACCUACACCAUAGUUCACGGCAAUGCUGGAUCCUUAACCCACCUGAGCAAGGCCAGGAAUUGAUCCUGCAUCCUCAUGGAUACUAGUCAGAUUCAGUUCUGCUAAGUCAUGAUGGGAACUCCUCAAUAUCUUUUUGAUUGAAAACUUUUGAUAGGUGGUUCAAGUACAAAAUCUCUCUGAGCAGCAAAUUAGAAACAGUCACAAGUGCCUUUUGCAGAUAACCACUCCCACCUCAGAUGACAUCUAUUAUGUUGCUGCCAACACAGCCCUGGCCUAGUAAGAACAGGCCAUUUCCUACAUCCUGCAUUUGAGGGAUUCAGAGAACAGUCCACCCCAGAGAAAAAGUGUAGUUCUUCAUUCAUCCCAGAAAUCCGCACACUGCUGGGGCAGCCAGGCAUUUUCAGGGAGGAAGAACACACUCCAGCUUUUCAGAUCAGGGCCAUCAGUGAAAAGAAUAGGGAUGAGGCCUCACAGAAAGUCUCACAAGAGACUGUAGUGUCACCAGGAAAUGCCAUGUGCAAGCCUUCUCUCAGGGAAAAAGUCCAGUGACCUAAGUGAUCCCAACAGAAGUAAGGAUAGGCAAGAAUCUUGUGAAAAAAGGAAAAAUAGCUUGACUGAGCCAAAAUACAAUUUAUCCAUUUUUUCACAAUGCUUAGUUUUUAUUAGUAUUACUGGUAUGCAUGUAUGUGUUCAACUGACCCUACCACAAUUGUACACAAGUACACACAGAGUUGGAGGUACACCAUGGGUACUUUUCUCUCAGUCCCAGUCCCUGAUGGAUAGGUUCAUGUAGCUGGUACUCAAUAAAAUUUGGAAAUAUUCCUCCAAUUUUAUUCUCUAAAAUAGAUUGAAAGCUCCUUGAUGGACAAUAUAGUUUCACACUAUAUCAAGGUCUCCUAAAAAUUUAUAAGAAAAAGACAAAUAACUAAAAACAAACAGGCAAAGAAUAUGGGCCACUUCACAGAAGAGGAAAUUAGCAAAGAUGUGAAAAGAUGCUCAACCUCACUGAUAACUGGAAAAAUGCAAGGCAAAACGAGAUAUUGUUUUUGACUCAUAUUGGCAAAAGAGCGUUAUUAUUAAGAUAUUUUUCCACACUACUUGUGAAAGUACAAGUUGGUUGGCUACUUUAGAGGCUAUUUGCCAAUAUCUGGCUGCGUCCUGAAUUUGAGGAAUUCAGGGAACUGUGCUGGAGCCAGUUCAUACCAGCUUGCCAGAGCCAAUUGUGAUUAUCUCCUCUUAACUCCAAGUUCGGUAAUGCCACAUUAGUAGUUUGAAAUUGGCUAUGGUGGGAGAACUCACACGAUGGAAAUAGAAUAAAUGCUACAAAUCAGUCUCUAACCCCCCUUUUUGGGAGACUAGUUGUUAAACAUUUAUCAUACCCGACAGUCUAUUUGUCAGUGUCUAGAAUCUAAAAAGCAUAUAACCCAUGAUACAGCAAUUCCUGUUUCCAAAAAUAUAUUUGCACAUGUAUACAGUGAGGCACAUGCAAGGAUGUUCACUGCAGUAUUGUUUGCAAUGGGGAAAAACUGGGAAUAACCUAAAAACACAUUGAUAGGGAUUUAAAAAACACACACACACCAGGAGUCCCCAUUGUGGUUCAGCAGAAACGAAUCUGACUAGUAUCCACCAGGACACAGUUGUUCCUGGCCCUGUUCAGUGGGUUAAGGAUCUGCAGUUGCUGUGAGCUGUGAUGUAGGUCGCAGACUCGGCUCGGACCCUGCGUUGCUAUGGCUAUGGCUAUGGCAUAGGCCAGCAGCUACAGCUCCAAUUCAACCCCUAGACACAAGUGCAGCCCUAAAAAGAAAAGAAAACAAAACAAAACAAAAAACCACCAAACCAUUAUAUCUAUGGAAUACUAUACAGCAGUUGAAAUUAAUGAGAUAAACUUUUGGGAGAAAAAAACUUCUCUGCUAACUUAGGUCCAUCUGAGGGAAGGAGGCUGCACAUGAACUGAUAAUAGACAAAUCAAUAGGAGAAAAAUAUAUUAUGAAUGGAGGACCAGCCCCCAGUACUCCCUGUGGUACUCCAGAACAGCUCCCAGAAUAGCUAAGGAUAAAGGAUUAUAUAUCAGCUUAAUAGGAGAGGAGGGGCUUGGGGCUACAAAGGAUGGUGAGAUGUAUUUACACAAUUUUAGGGGGGAUGCCCCAAGGUCAGGCUUCCUGAUUUGAGCUAUGAGGGUGACGGAGGGAGAGUGCUGGAAGCUGGCUCUAGUAGAGCUCUGUUUUGAUCAAUAAAGAAGUUCUAAUGAGAUUUCUUUCAGCAUCUUCUGUAGCUUAGACUUUUCCACUUUGAAGCAUUCUCUGUAUGAGUCUGGUGGAUUGUUGGUUUCUGCAGUACUAAUUUAGAAAAGUCCCAAGACAUGUAGUUGAGGGAAAAAGCAAUUUUUAGGAUAACACAUACAGUGUGAUUGCACUUAUGUUACAGGAAUACAUAAAACAAUACCAUAAAUAUGGGCAUAUGUGCAGGUUGGAAAAGAUUUUUUUAAAAUAACAACAACAUGGAAGGAGAUCACUCAAAGUAACCACAGAGGUUUUUUGCUGGGGAAGAGGAGGAAACCAGGAUGGAUGGUAUUGGUCAUAGGGGACUUUUUAGUUUUCGUUUGUCCUUUAAACGCUUUUCAAGGACAAUAUUUCCAUGUAUUACUUGUGUAAAGUUAAAACCAAACCAAAGCAGCUUCUUGAAGACAGAAAUGUCCAUACACUUCCAAAAGGCCAAGGUCAGUGUUCUGAGCUCCUGGAAUGGAAGGGCACCCUCUUACCGGUGAAAUUUAAUUCCUUUUCCAGUGGCCUGGGCCUUAGGUAGCACUACACUUCCUCAAAGGGCACUCUGAAAACUUUGUGGGAUAUCAGGCCUGAUUAAGACCCUUAAUGGUCCCUGAAAAACACUGAAAAGGUUACGUCUCCUCCCUUCUCUGCAUUUAUAAUUCAAAUUAAAAGUACUAUGAAAACAAAGAAAUCUUACCAAGUCCUGAUUUUUCCUAUGACUAUGGCAAUACUUCUGACAGUUGAAAAAAUAUUAAUCUCUCAAAAAACUUUGACUUAGCUGGAAGCAUGUGCUUAAUUCUUAAUGAUUGGGUGAUCCAUCACCUGGCAAAAUAAGGAAGAAUUAAAAUAAACAAAUAAAAAGUUUUUGGAGUUCCCAUCAUGGCUGAGUGGUGACAAACCCGACUAGUAUUCAUGAGGAAGCAGGUUUGAUCACUGGCCCCACUCAGUGGGUUAAGGACUCGGUGUUGCUGUGAUCUGUGCUGUAGGUCACAGAUGUGGCUCCGAACCCAAAUUGCUGUGGCUGUGGUGUAGGCCGGCGCUGCAGCUUUGAUUCAACCCCUCACCUGAACUUCCAUAUCCUUUGAGUGCAGCCCUAAAAAGACCAAAAUAAACAAAUAUUUGUGCAAAUCCAGGUGUGGGGUGUGAUCUGCAAAGAAUGGCCCUGCUGUUAUGCAGCAACCACCUCUCUCCUGGGCUCACCCAGGGCAACAGGGACUAGCUAGUUGGGUCUUGCCCCUCUAGCAAUGCUUCCCGGCCUGUUUGCCCACAGGGGCUGUGAGUUGAUUCUCCCAGGGUCAGGUCCCCAGUGAGGAGGUUUCUCCAGCUCUUCAGGGAACUUCAGAAUCAAAUUCCCUUAGCUUUUUAUUCAACUGUUCCCUAUGUGUACAGGGAGAGGUAAGGAGACUGUUAAACUUUCACCUUAUCCUUCCCUAUUUAUUAAAAUUAUAUACCUAAGCACUGAUGAAGAAAAGGAUCAGUUUUUUCCACCUGUCUUAGAUUCUCUGGUUAUUAUUUACUUAUUUAUUCCGUGUGUGUGUGUGUGUGUGUGUGUGUGUGUGUGUGUGUGUGCUUUUUAGAGCCACACCUGUGUCAUAUGGAAGUUCCCAGGCUAGGGGUCCAAUUGGAGCUACAGCUGCCGGCUUACGCCACGUCUGCAACCUACGCCACAGCCACAGCAGCGCCGAAUCCUUAACUCACUGAAACCAGGAAUUGAACCCACAUCCUCACGGUUACUAGUCAGGUUCAUUACCACCGAGCCACAACGGGAACUCCUACUUAUAUAUUCUUUACUUUCUUCCUGAUACUGGGGGAAAAGAUUUUUGUCCUAAAGACCAAAAAAAAAAAAAAGCCAAAAAUAAAUAAAUAAAUAAAUAAAUUUCCUAAAGACCAUAGCUGAAGUGGUGGUACACUACCCAGCAAAUGGUUACAUCCAUGGUUUAAUGGAUCAUACAGUAAGUGACUUAGGAAGUGAUUUGCUUUCUUCCACCUCAGAGGAGAUCUGGGGAAAGGCACCUCCUUGGCCUGUGGGGUCUAAAGCCAGGAGGACCUUCAGUGCCCAGAGGACUUGGCCCCUCACCUCUAGCCCCCAUUAUGGCCAGCCACUCCAAGUGAGGCUGGGACUCCAGGGAAGAGGGAAAUGUUACCUGGCCCUCUGUCUUCCUGGGCCAUUCUUUGGCUGCUAUCAGUUGACAGCAAACGCAAACCCUCUGAGCAUAGUUCAGUUUCCUCAGAGUAACAACAUUCACUCCCUUUAAGUCACAAGUGAACUCUGCUUUGAGGAAAAAAGCAGGUAGGGAUUUUCCUCUAUUUUAAUACCCUCAUUUCUUCCUGCAAACAGCUUGAGGGGUGUGAACAUGAAUCUCAUGGGCUAACAAGGCAAAGUUUCAUAUUUACGUUCUCUCUUUCCCUUCCCUUUCCAGAAUCUAGGCCCUGGGGAUUCUUUAUAGGGGGCAGGUAAGCGACCCUUGAAAGAACAGACUUCACCUCCCUUCCCAACUGAGCCAGAAUGGGCCCACAGCUCUGCCAGGGAAGCAACAAAAACUGCUUCUGGCCUCAUCUCCCCAGGGAGGGAACGCGCCUUGGGGUUUGUUUGGUGGCGCAGUCCCGUGUCUGCUAGCAGUCAUAAGUUCUUUGACUCCAGCUAUGUUUAGCUUUGUUUGAUUGUCUUCCAUGGGAACACAACAGCAUUAGUCUCCCUUUUCUCAGCUCUCCAUUUAGAACAACUCAUCACCUAGAACCUGAGCCCCAGAUGAUGAGCCAGAUAAGAUCCAGGUCUGUAAACAUCCAUCAAGAGAAAAAGCAGGAGUUCCUGUCAUGCCUCAGUGGUUAAGGAAUCCGACUAGUACUCAUGGGGACUUGGGUUUGAUCCCUGGCCUUGCUCAGUGGGUUAAGGAUCCGGUGUUGCCCUGAGCUGUAGUGUAGGUCGCAGCCUCGGCUUGGAUCCUGUGUUGCUGUAGCUGUGGCUGUGGCAUAGGCUGGCAGCUGUAGCUCCGAUUCGACCCCGAGCCUGGGAACCUCCAUAAUGCUGCAGGCAUAGCCCUGAAAAGACAAAAGACAAAAAAAAAAACAAAAAAAACAAAAAAAACAAAAAAAAAACGAGAGAGCGAGAGAGAGAAAGCAGACCCCUUCCAUGAAGAGGUGUGGCCUCACCCAUUCCUAGUAACAUGUUUCCUCUCCACCUCCAGAUCCAAAGAUAACACCCCUCUACCUUUCACAAGUUGAUUUUAAAAGCUUUGGCUUAAAAUCUCUCCUGACUCCAGCCUCCUCUGACCUUUCCAUUUGCUGAACUCUCAUAGCAAUUACAUUUGCACCAUUCAAUUUAGCAUUUAAUUGGCUACCGACCUGUAUUGCUUGUACACUGCUUCAUGGUUAACUGGUUGUAGCUUCCCAAGGAGAUGAUUCCUAACAGUAGUAAUAAUGAUAAUAAUAAGAGCAGCAGCAAACAUUUACAUGUGCUGACUUUGUGCAAAUAUACUCUAGGUACUUUCCACAUGUUAAAUUUAUUUUAUUCUCCCAAUGCAACUGAAGAAGUAUUAUUAUAUUAUCAUCUCCUUUUAACAAAUGAAAAAAACUGAGGCCCAGAGAUGUUAAAUAAGUUGUCCAAGGUCACACAAUUAGCAAAUAAAAGAGCCCUGGAUUUGACCUAGGUCAAAGAGCCCUGAGGUCUCUAAAAGAUGUCUUUUAGACUUCUCCUAAAUCUUACCUACCUUACAGUAUCUAACUCUGUGAAUUAGAUUUAUCAUCCCUUUUUUUAAAAAAAAUCACCCCUAUUUUCAGGUGAGAAAACUAAACUUGCCUGAGGUCACACAGCCAGAAACCUGCUCUGAGUCAAACCUAGAUCUCUCUGACUUGAAUGCUUUCAUCUUCUUACCAAAUGGAAACUAUGGAUUUGAUUAACACCUAACUCAAUCAUCAUAUCUCUGAUGCUCACUCAUCUCACAGCACAAUUUCGGAGACUUUCGCAGGCAGGGGGAGGGGGAAGGACACAAAGAGGAUGAGAUAAGGUGCCCAC